rnacentral:rRNA from 1 species
AAAAUGAAAUGACUCUCGGCAACAGAUAUCUCGGCUCUCGCAUCGAUGAAGAACGUAACGAAAUGCGAUACUUGGUGUGAAUUGUAGAAUCCCGUGAACCAUCGAGUCUUUGAACACAAGUUGCGCCCCAAGCCAUUAGGCUGAGGGCACGCCUGCUUGGGUGUCAUGCACCGUCACCCCCGCUCCGACCCCCCCCUCGGGCUCUGAGGGAAUGGGACGGGCGGAAGAUGGCCUCCAGCGAUCCUGUGGAUCACGGUUGGCCCAAAAGUGAGUCCCCGACAAUGACAGCAUCGUGACCAUCGAUGGUAGAGCUCCCGGCGUGCCUUGUCCCCGGUGACGUGCGCUCGUUGUCCACCUGGACCCCUUCGGACCCCCAUAUCGCUCGGUCGAUGCUCACGUCAUGACUUCAGGUCAGGCGGGAUCACCCGCUAAGUUUAAGCAUAUCAAUAAGUGGAGGAAAAGAAACUUACCAGGAUUCCCCUAGUAACGGUGAGCUAAUCGGGAAGAGCCCAGCUUGAGAAUCGGCACCCCCGGUGUCUGAAUUGUAGUCUGGAGAAGCGUCUUCAGCAGCGGACUGGACCCAAGUCCCCUAGAAAGGGGCACCAGAGAGGGUGAGAGCCCCGUUAUGCCUAGACCCUGUCGCACCACGAGGUGCUAUCCGUGAGUUGGGUUGUUUAGGAAUGCAGCCCCAAUCAGGCGGUAAAUUUCGUCCAAGGCUGAAUACGGGUGAGAGACUAAUAGGGAACAAGUACCACGAGGGAAAAAUGAAACGGACUUUGAAAAGAGAGUAAAAGAGUGCUUGAAAUUGUCAGGAGGGAAGCAGAUGGGGGCUGACGAUGCACCCCGAUCGGAUGUGGAACGACGAGAGUCGGUCCGUCGAUCAGCUUAGGGCAUGGACCGACACGGGUUGUGGUGGUGGCCCAAGCCCGGGCUUUCAAUGUGCCCACUGAGACGUCGUCACCGUGAUCAUGGAACGUAGCACGCACUGUCUCAGCAUGCCCCGGCACCAACGUGCUCCAUGCGUCAGCCUGCGAGCUCCCCAUCCGACCCGUCUUGAAACAUGGACCAAGGAGUCUAACAUGCGUGUGAGUCAACGGGCCAGGAAACUCGUAAGGUGCAAGAAAGCUGAUUGGCAAGAUCCCUCGUGGGUGCACCACCGAUCGACCUUGAUCUUUUGAGAAGGGUUCGAAUGCGACCAUGCCCGUCGGGACCCGAAAGAUGGUGAACUAUGCCUGAGUGGGGCGAAGCCAGAGGAAACUCUGGUGGAGGCCCGUAGCGAUACUGACGUGCAAAUCGUUCAUCUUACUUGGGUAUAGGGGCAAAAGACUAAUCGAACCGUCUAGUAGCUGGUUCCCUCCGAAGUUUCCCUCAAGAUAGUUGGAGCCCCCGUCGAGUUCUAUCCGGUAAAGCCAAUGAUUAGAGGCAUCGGGGGCGCAAUGCCCUCGACCUAUUCUCAAACUUUAAAUAGGUAGGACGGCAUGGCUACUUCAUUGAGCCAUGCCACAGAAUCGAGAGCUCCAAGUGGGCCAUUUUUGGUAAGCAAAACUGGCGAUGCGAGAUGAACCGAAAGUCGAGUUACGGUGCCCAACUACGCGCUAACCCAGAACCUAUAAAGGGUGUUAGUCGAUUAAGAUAGUAGGAAGGUGGUGAUGGAAAUCGAAAUCUGCUAAAGUGUGUGUAACAACUCACCUGUCGAAUCAACUAGCCCCGAAAAUGGAUGGCACUUAAGCGCGUGACCUAUACCCAACCGUCGGGGCAAGGGCCAGGCCCCGAUGAGUAAGAGGGCAUGACGGUCACCGCAAAACCUGGGGCACGAGCCCAGGUAAAGCGACCGUCGGUGUAGAUCUUGGUGGUAGUAGCAAAUAUUCAAAUGAGAACUUUGAAAGUCGAAAAAGAGGAAGGUUCCAUGUGAACGGCACUUGCACAUGGGUUAGUUGAUCCUAAGAGAUGGGGGAAGCUCAUCCGACAGCGUGUCCCAUGUGAGCUUCAAAAGGGAAUCGGGUUAAAAUUUUUGAACCGAAAUGAAUGACUGAUGGCAACAUUAAGAGUCUGGAGAUGUCAACGGGGGCUUCGGGAAGAGUUAUCUUUUCUAUUUAACUGCCCGCCCACCCUGGAAACGAGUCAACCGGAGGUAGGGUCCAGCAGUUGGAAGAGCACCGCACGUCGUGUGGUGUCUGGUGCACCCCUUGAAAAUCUGAAGGAUCGAGUGCCGUCCGUGCCUGGUCGUACUCAUAACCACAUCAGGUCUCCAAGGUGAACAGCCUUCUGUCGAUGGAACAAUAUAGGCAAGGGAAGUCGAUAAAAUGGAUCCGUAACCUCGAGAAAAGGAUUGGCUCUGAGGGCAGGGCACAGGGUCUCAGUCUCGAACCCUUCGGCUGCUGGUGCACUGCUCGAGCUGCUCCAGCGGUGAGAGCGGGUCACCGCAUGCCGAUCGAGGGAUGGACUGGGAACGGCUCCCUCAGGGGCCUUCCCCGGGCAACGAAUAGUCAACUCAAAACUG